rnacentral:rRNA from 1 species
GACGAACGCUGGCGGCGUGCUUAACACAUGCAAGUCGAACGGAAAGGCCCUGCUUUUGUGGGGUGCUCGAGUGGCGAACGGGUGAGUAACACGUGAGUAACCUGCCCUUGACUUUGGGAUAACUUCAGGAAACUGGGGCUAAUACCGGAUAGGAGCUCCUGCUGCAUGGUGGGGGUUGGAAAGUUUCGGCGGUUGGGGAUGGACUCGCGGCUUAUCAGCUUGUUGGUGGGGUAGUGGCUUACCAAGGCUUUGACGGGUAGCCGGCCUGAGAGGGUGACCGGCCACAUUGGGACUGAGAUACGGCCCAGACUCAUACGGGAGGCAGCAGUGGGGAAUAUUGCACAAUGGGCGGAAGCCUGAUGCAGCAGCGCCGCGUGCGGGAUGACGGCCUUCGGGUUGUAAACCGCUUUCGCCUGUGACGAAGCGUGAGUGACGGUAAUGGGUAAAGAAGCACCGGCUAACUACGUG